UUUCCGCUUGUUACGUCACUAACGGUUUACGCUCGAUCUCCGUCCACUUUGCAGAUCCUCCUCCUUCAGUGGCCGCGAUUGUGCUCAGUGAAGCUCGUCCGGUGGCAUCAACGACCGUCGUCGCCUUAUCUGGGAGCGGAUAUUGCUCCGUUGUUCGAGCAAUGUGAAGGGCUUACUUGUCUGGAUCUCUCGAAUUUCUACUACUGGUCGGAGGAUCUUCCUCCGGUUCUCCAAGCGUAUCCUGAUGUUUCCAAGUCCUUGAAAUGCUUGGAUCUGCUCACGGUUUCAUUAACUGAUGGAUUUAAG
rnacentral:misc_RNA from 1 species